GACGUAGGGGGCCAGCGUUGUUCGGAAUUACUGGGUGUAAAGGGUUCGUAGGCGGUGUGGCAAGUCGGGUGUGAAAUCUCUGGGCUCAACUCAGAGACUGCUUCCGAAACUGCUGUGCUGGAGUGUGGGAGAGGCGCGUGGAAUUGCAGGUGUAGCGGUGAAAUGCGUAGAUAUCUGCAGGAACACCCGUGGAGAAAGCGGCGCGCUGGACCACUACUGACGCUGAGGAACGAAAGCUAGGGGAGCAAACAGG
rnacentral:rRNA from 1 species